rnacentral:rRNA from 1 species
GAAACCGUUUGCAGGGAAACAGAUGGACCCACGAAGUCCAGUUGAGUGUGAAAUUCACAUUUCAAGACUGUUUAAACUUAGAUUUAUAGCUUCUAUCGAAGUUUUACUUAAGUUUUUGACUGUCAAGAGAUGCAUUUUUCACAUUCACGAUGGAGCUCUGACUUCUCAACCAAACCGAACUGCUUGGGGCAGCUCAUAUAUGUAGUAGGGUUCCUGUAAUCCUUGAUACAUAUGUGAGUGUUCAGUAAGGUUUAACUGAGAGGUUGAAUUUCUCACGUUUGUGAGUGAUUCAGUUUAUCAGAGAAUAUAUUAGAUAGGAAAGAGGCGAAUGGCUCUUUUUCGGACUCUAGUAGUUGAAAGUUUCAUUUGUUCGCUUUCCAAUUAUCUAAUAUAUUUGCUAAUGAUAAUCCAGAGUAAGUAGGUCGGUCAUCCAUCUGACC